UACAGAGGUCUCAAGCGUUGUUCGGAUUCAUUGGGCGUAAAGGGUGCGUAGGCGGCGCGGUAAGUCGGGUGUGAAAUCUUGGAGCUUAACUCCGAAACUGCAUUCGAUACUGCCGUGCUUGAGGACUGGAGAGGAGACUGGAAUUUACGGUGUAGCGGUGAAAUGCGUAGAUAAUCGGAAGGAACAUCAGUGGCGAAAAGCGACUUCCUGGACCAAUACUGACGCUCAUGUGCGAAAGCGUGGGGAGCAAACAGG
rnacentral:rRNA from 1 species